UACGUAGGGUGCGAGCGUUGUCCGGAAUUAUUGGGCGUAAAGAGCUUGUAGGCGGUUUGUCGCGUCUGCCGUGAAAAUCCGAGGCUCAACCUCGGACUUGCGGUGGGUACGGGCAGACUAGAGUGUGGUAGGGGAGACUGGAAUUCCAGGUGUAGCGGUGAAAUGCGUAGAUAUCUGGAGGAAUACCGGUGGCGAAGGCGGCAUCCUGGACCGAUAUUGACACUGAUGAGCGAAAGCUAGGGGAGCAAACGGG
rnacentral:rRNA from 1 species